ACCUGCCCUUUACUCGGGGAUAGCCUUUCGAAAGAAAGAUUAAUACCCGAUAGCAUAAUGAUUCCGCAUGGUUUCAUUAUUAAAGGAUUCCGGUAAAGGAUGGGGAUGCGUUCCAUUAGGUUGUUGGUGAGGUAACGGCCCACCAAGCCUUCGAUGGAUAGGGGUUCUGAGAGGAAGGUCCCCCACAUUGGAACUGAGACACGGUCCAAACUCCUACGGGAGGCAGCAGUGAGGAAUAUUGGUCAAUGGGCGCUAGCCUGAACCAGCCAAGUAGCGUGAAGGAUGAAGGCUCUAUGGGUCGUAAACUUCUUUUAUAUAAGAAUAAAGUGCAGUAUGUAUACUGUUUUGUAUGUAUUAUAUGAAUAAGGAUCGGCUAACUCCGUGCCAGCAGCCGCGGUAAUACGGAGGAUCCGAGCGUUAUCCGGAUUUAUUGGGUUUAAAGGGAGCGUAGGUGGACUGGUAAGUCAGUUGUGAAAGUUUGCGGCUCAACCGUAAAAUUGCAGUUGAUACUGUCAGUCUUGAGUACAGUAGAGGUGGGCGGAAUUCGUGGUGUAGCGGUGAAAUGCUUAGAUAUCACGAAGAACUCCGAUUGCGAAGGCAGCUCACUGGACUGCAACUGACACUGAUGCUCGAAAGUG
rnacentral:rRNA from 1 species